AUAGAUAAUGUGCUUAAAUAAAAUAACAUUUUUCUGACCACUGAAAUGCAACCGACACUUACUUAUUUCUGCUGCUAAAUUUUGAGUCUUGGCAAUCCAUUCUCAGAGUUCAAUGUCCUUUCCCGGUUUCUUACAGUUGUUGGCAUCGUGGUACUUUGCACCUGCCUGUACAGAUGUCUUAAAAGGGAGAAGAAAGGAUUGGACUAGUGGCCGAGAUUAGAUUUAGAACCGUUCACUGUGAAGACUUGGGAUGGUUGUAUGCACUGGAAUUUUUACGAUGGAAGUUUCCAUCUGUCUAUGCAACUCAGGUAAUUAUAAAAAGGUAUGUAGGUUCUCAUGCAAAUGCCCAACCUGAUUUGCUUUUAUUUAGAGUGGAUACUUAUAUCCUUGUUAAACUGGGGAAGGAAGAGCAGCACCAUUUCAUUUCCCUCUUACGUUCUCUUAAUUUACUAGGUUGCCAUAAAACUGAUGGGGUUUAUUAACAUUACUGAGGGGUAAGAUUUACAAGGCACUGCAUCAGCUCUAUUCUUGUUUUUAAUUUAUAGAACAGCAAAAAAGAGGAGGCUUAUCAUAAAAAAAAGUGUACAAGUACGUAUCUUCUAGGGAGAAUAGAGUUUUUAAACAUCAAACUUAAAUUUUAAUGAAAUCUCUUUCAAUUUAGCAAAAGACGUAGGACAAAUCCUAGAGCAUAGACCAAGAUUAGGUACUUUGAAAUGUCUGAUUUGUAGUGAUUCUUUUUUUUUUUUUUUUUUUUUUUU
rnacentral:lncRNA from 1 species